GGGGUUUCUAUGGGAAAAUAAAAUGAUUAAAAACAAGUUCUUACAUAUUGUGUAUUAAUCUAAUAAUAUUUUGAAAUUGCAUACAAAGUCGAGAAUAAGGGAAAUCAAAAGCCAUUUGGUGUUGAUUCAUUGUCUUCUCUUUGGACCAAUUGUGGCUAGUGAGAGACAAGUUGUAGAGGAUGUAGCACUCAUUCUUACAACAGCAAAACAACAAACCUCUUGACCAUCCUCUCUCCUUACUCUACACUUGCUAAAUCAUUGAUUUGAUCCCCCACAAAUCUUCCUUCUUCGGGACAUCUUUCCCCCUCCAUCAUUCACUUGGCUCUCUUGGGAUUCUUGCUUCAUGAUGCCUCCUCUCUUUGUUUUAUGAUUCUCUAGGCAUCCUCAUCCACCUCUUUAUACCCAUACAUGGAGGCCAUGGAAAUUUAGC
rnacentral:lncRNA from 1 species